rnacentral:tRNA from 1 species
GCCGACGUAGCUCAGCCCGGUAGAGCAAUCGCCUUGUAAGCGAUCGGUCGAGGGUUCGAAUCCCUCCGUCGGCC